GGAAAUGUGAACUGUUUCUGUGCAGCUAGGAAAUUCACAUGGGGGGGUUAGUUCACUGAAUCCUUCCUUGUUUGUGCCACUUCCUCCCACACACAAAGUCUGACAAGUUUUUCCCCCUUUUUCUCGUUAUCGUACGUGGCUAUAAAAUCCAGGGAGAUCCCCCCUCCCCAAUGAUCAGCUCUCUAAUCCCCCCCGAUAUUGCCCUGCUCUCUCCAUACUUCUCAAGUGUCCAUUUAAAAUCUCUCCGAGGUGGAGGAUUUUUUCCCCCUUUUUAUCUGCAGCAAUUUGUCCUUGUUUAGGUGGGAAAUUGUUGCCCUGGGUCAUUCCCCAGAACGUGGCUGCCCCUGGCGUGGGGCUGGGAUGAGAUGCCCUUUCCCUGGCAGGGCGGGGACGCGAAGAGCAUGUGUCCCCCAUGGAGACUGCCCAGACCCCAGUUUCCCAAUCCCACCCACUGACCCCCAAACUACCAACACAGUUUCCCCCGGCUCUCAGUUGCCAGUCACUUGCCCAUCACCUGCUGCUGCCCUCUUCCUUUGUCCAGGGAGCCUUCCAGCUCCAACUCGCCACCCCCUUGCCCUCUUAAAUCAGCUCCUCAAAGGGCUUCUUGCUGCCCAUGUGAAUGGUUGAAGUGGGGAACCAUCACUUUCUGUUUAUGUACUGGAUAGUCUCAUAAAAUCCAGUCAAACAGUCCCCCUUUCCCUCUAGUUAUUUAACAGCAACAUAAAAAUCCCCUCAGAUCUUGGUAUUUUUCUCUCAUGUUAUCAAUUGCUUAGCUUGUGACACGUUUUCUCUGCAAAUCUCCAAGACUGAUAUAAAAUAUCCUAAACGUUUGCCCCACUUCUCUCCAGUUGUCUAUUUCUAAUUGAAUAUGCCCUGAGAUUUUUUUCCCUGUCUCUCUAAUGAUAAAAUACAAAGAAAAUCUCAGAUUUACACCUUUCCUCAGAUUCUUGAACAUGGAUAUAAAAUGUUUGCAAAUGUUGCCCAUUUCCGCUUUAUUCAUUAAUCAAAUAUUGAUGUGAAAUACACUCAGAUUUUACCUCAUACCAACAACUGAUAUAAAAUCUCUCCAAUUUUUACACUUUCCUCUCUAUAAUUGGCAAAAAUGGAUCCAAAAUCGCUCAGAUUUCUACUCUUUCUCUUUCAUUUCUGAACAUUGAUCUCAGAGCUCAGGAUUUCCAUCUUUCUAUGUCAUUAUCAAAUAUCAAUUAAAAAACCUAUCGGGUUUGGGACUGUUCCCCGUGUGUCUAAAUCCCAGCAACUUCUUCCUUCCAGUGAACCUGUUCCCCUGAAUCAUUCUCCAUUCUGGAUGUUGCAGAGGGUUAAAUUGCCCAGUGAUCAUCUUUCCCCUCUCCUUGGAGAAUCAUUUCUUCCCCCCUUUAUCUUUGUUAAAAUGUUUGCCACAGAAAAAGACCAGCCACAUGUUUAAUACACAUCAAAGCCAGAAGCCUCUCCCUGUUUGGGGAUCAGUGGUUCCCAGCUGGUAACAAGAAAGUUGGCUGGACCCUUUUCUUUUCUCCAGCUGUCACAGGAUGAGGUCACUGUGAGUGCAUUGUGGGUCCAGAAGUAUCCCAAACCCCAUGACAAAUGGCCUCUGUGAGGGGCUGCUUCCCACAUUGCUAAGAUGUAGCCACCUUGGGAUGGAUACAUGGUGACCACUAUUUGCUAGUGACAGGGCAUGGACAUGUCUUAUCUUUCUGCUGAAGGGCAGGUGGGGGUCCUAGGCAGGCAGUGAGUUCCCAGUUGGGGUCCCCUUGGGGAGGUCCCUGGCUGGUGGGGGCUCUUGAUAGGGGGAACCCUUUGGGAUUCCUAGCCUGGCAGGGAAGAUCUGGUGGGGGUUCUCUGGCCGGUGAGGCUCUGAAGGGUAUCUGGGGUCUCUGGCCAGGGAUUCUGGUGGUUAGGUCCCAGGGAGUAUCUGGUGGGACCCUGGCUGGGGGGUCUGGGUUCUGGGGAGGUUUGGGGGUUCCUGGAUGGAGGCUCUAGGGGCUGCUACUAACCAUGUUCUUUCUAUCUCAUCAGCUUGUGCCAGAAUCCUGGCUCCAAGCACUGCCCAACAUUCCCCGGCCAGGCCCAGUCACCAUGAUAACUUUCUAUUCACUUAUCAAACACUGUGAGGUGAAAUCACAGAUUUUUUUUCCUCCCCUUUUGAAAACUGCAGGAACUUCUGGUUCCACUGGGAAAAUUUGUGCCCCCUCCCAAGUCCUUGUCCUAGAUCUGGUGGGUGGGGGAGGUGGGAAGGGGAUCAGUACUGCCACACAAUGGUCUCUUCCACAGCAUUCUGGACUCAUUCUGAAAUCUGGUUUCAUUGAGACCAUGAUAAUCCAGAGUCACUGUAUGGAAAGACAAAGAGUUACUCCAGAUAGACAGCGGGGCAAAUUUGAUCAGCAAUUCUCCCUGUGAGGAGGGGCUCUCAUUAGCUGCUCUCCCCAGAGAGCUAAAGGAGGGAAGCUGCUCAAAUGCUCUGUCCUUCUCUGCUCAGGAUGUUGGGGUUCAGCUUCCUGGGUCAGAGGCUGCAGCCUCCAUUGUGAUCUGGGAGACCAGGCUUAGCAGAUGCUUCUCCCCCAGAGGGGGUUCUGUGCUGGGAAGUGACCUUAAUUAAAGCUUCUUCUCUGCCCGGCCCAGAUGAUGACUUUCUCCAGCUUGUACUAGCCCCUUGGGGCAGACCUGGGCCCUGUUAAUACAAAUUCUAGCAUAGACUCUAGGGCUGCAGAAUGAGCUCCAUGUUUCGCUCUAGCUCAUUCCAUCCUCCCAUGGGACAUAGGAUAGAAAUGGCUGCAGUGGAGCCAGCUCAGGAAGGGAUCACUGGGGGGUUGCUGGUGGGUUCCUGCUGGAGGGAGAGGGACAGCAAAUACACCAGAGAUGGAAAGGUUUGCAUAGUCUGGUUUGGAGGUUGGAGCGGGGCAGGAGAUGCACAGGAUGGGGAAGAGAGGAGGACAGAUUGUGGCAAACCUGCUGGGAGUUGUUUAAUAAAUGGCCUAGACUCUAGGAGCAGACCCAUGAGAUUAGGAGGUUGAAAUGCCCUCAGUUCUAGAACAGAAAAUAACCCACCUACAUGGGGCUAGGAAAACUGACCAGUCUCCCGGUGCUGGAGGCUGACCCAACUAACCACUGGCUGCUGAGAGAUAUGAAGGGGGCACCCACCAGUCUGACAUAGGGGAGAUUCCCCUCCCUUCAUAUCCAGCUCCUCACAAUGAGGAGGGUGUUGGGCUUCCUACCAGGGAGCUCUCCCUGGACCCUGCUAGGAGCUCCAUCUCCUCUAUUAGUCUGUGGCUAGUAGGGGCCGGUGACCUUUGAGGUGGUGGCUGUGUAUUUCACCAGGGAAGAGUGGGCUCUGCUGGACCCCACUCAGAGAGCCCUCUACAGAGACGUCAUGCAGGAGAACUAUGAUAAUGUGACCUCGCUGGCCACUGAACGCUGAGUGGAUGUUUUCAGAGAACUACCCACAGUGACUCCAAGAUCUCUCUUGAGUGGAAACAGAUAAUUUAGACCCCAUCAUUUUAUAUGUAUAAUUGAGAUAGUGCAGCCCAUUGGAAAACAAUGUGCUAUCCUGACAUCUAGUACUGUUGAGCUCCUGCAUUCAAUAAUAUCUGUGCCCUUCCUGUUCCCUUUCUCCACUGAACCCCGCCAGCCCAUGGUUACUGUUCCCAGCUUCCCCGGGACUCUCUCAUUGUCUGUGGACCUGUCUAUCAGCAAGAAGCACAGCCAGGAAGACUUGCCCUCUGUCUGGAGUCUUGGAUUUAUGGGAUAUGGAUUUACCUUCUCUGUGUUUUAGGAGCUUAUUUGAAAUUAAGUGUCUGUGACAUUAAGCACAGUACAAUCUGGAGUGUUGAACAGCUGUGUCCCCUCAGUUCCCCAGGCUAGUGUAUCUUUUACACUGCUCUACUGUGAGAACAGCCACUCCUGGCAGUUAACACACAGUCUCCAGCAUGUAACUCGCUCCCAGCUUCACAGUAUUGGGUGCUGCUAGUCAGUGACUCCCGAACGACAGUACCCACAGGACAACCCCAGAAAAUUCUCCGGUCCCAGACUUCCCCCAGAAAUGUGCAUCUUGUCCUGUCCAGCACACUACUGAACAACGCAAGCUCAUAUGAAAUCUGUCAUUUCAUCAGUGGAAAAUGACAUGCACCAGCCUUGUUAUCCCCAAUGGAGUUUCCAACGCUCUUGAAUCCAAACACACUAGUUAGGUAAAACAAAAUUGUUAACUACUGGGAAAAAAAAUCUUUUCAGUGACUAUGGGUAAUGAGGCAUAAAAGUCAGAAUUCUUUACAAAAGAAAUGCAAGAUAAAACACAAACUAAGGUCUAAGUUAACAAGCUAAAAUGGAUUCAAAGCAAAUGUGCUGAGACAGGCUGGCUUUCCUUUCAGCCAGGACUCCCCCUAACCUGCCCCUGCUGCCCAAGUUCAGUUCUUCAGGAUUUGUCAUGGGCAGAGGGAAAGGGGAGAGAGAGACUUUCCUCACCUUUUUAUAAUUCAGUCCUUUCUGUUAGAAACAACUUCAGUUCUCA